rnacentral:rRNA from 1 species
GAGUUUGAUCUUGGCUCAGAUUGAACGCUGGCGGCAUGCCUUACACAUGCAAGUCGAACGGCAGCACGGGAGCUUGCUCCUGGUGGCGAGUGGCGAACGGGUGAGUAAUGCAUCGGAACGUAUCCUGGAGUGGGGGAUAACGUAGCGAAAGUUACGCUAAUACCGCAUAUUCUGUGAGCAGGAAAGCGGGGGACCUUCGGGCCUCGCGCUCUUGGAGCGGCCGAUGUCGGAUUAGCUAGUUGGUGAGGUAAAGGCUCACCAAGGCGACGAUCCGUAGCAGGUCUGAGAGGAUGAUCUGCCGCACUGGAACUGAGACACGGUCCAGACUCCUACGGGAGGCAGCAGUGGGAAUUUUGGACAAUGGGGGCAACCCUGAUCCAGCCAUGCCGCGUGAGUGAAGAAGGCCUCGGUUGUAAG